CCUACGGGAGGCAGCAGUGGGGAAUAUUGCACAAUGGGCGCAAGCCUGAUGCAGCCAUGCCGCGUGUGUGAAGAAGGCCUUCGGGUUGUAAAGCACUUUCAGCGGGGGGGAAGGCGGUGAGGUUAAUAACCUCAUCGAUUGACGUUACCCGCAGAAGAAGCACCGGCUAACUCCGUGCCAGCAGCCGCGGUAAUACGGAGGGUGCAAGCGUUAAACGGAAUUACUGGGCGUAAAGCGCACGCAGGCGGUCUGUCAAGUCGGAUGUGAAAUCCCCGGGCUCAACCUGGGAACUGCGUUCGAAACUGGCAGGCUAGAGUCUUGUAGAGGGGGGUAGAAUUCCAGGUGUAGCGGUGAAAUGCGUAGAGAUCUGGAGGAAUACCGGUGGCGAAGGCGGCCCCUGGACAAAGACUGACGCUCAGGUGCGAAAGCGUGGGGAGCAAACAGGAUUAGAUACCCCUGUAGUC
rnacentral:rRNA from 1 species